GUGUCAGCCGCCGCGGUAAUACGUAGGGUGCGAGCGUUAAUCGGAAUUACUGGGCGUAAAGUGUGCGCAGGCGGUUUUGUAAGACAGCUGUGAAAUCCCCGGGCUUAACCUGGGAACUGCGGUUGUGACUGCAAGGCUAGAGUACGGCCGAGGGAGGGGGAAUUCCACGAGUAGCAGUGAAAUGCGUAGAGAUGUGGAGGAACACCGAUGGAGAAGGCAGCCUCCUGGGCCAGUACUGACGCUCAUGCACGAAAGCGUGGGGAGCAAACAGGAUUAGAUACCCUGGUAGUCCACGCCCUAAACGAUGUCGACUAGUUGUUCGGAGAGGAGACUCUCUGAGUAACGCAGCUAACGCGUGAAGUCGACCGCCUGGGGAGUACGGUCGCAAGAUUAAAACUUAAAGGAAUUGGCGG
rnacentral:rRNA from 1 species